rnacentral:rRNA from 1 species
CCUACGGGAGGUAGCAGUGGGGAAUAUUGGACAAUGGGGGCAACCCUGAUCCAGCCAUGCCGCGUGUGUGAAGAAGGCCCUCGGGUUGUAAAGCACUUUCAGUGAGGAAGAACGCCUGGUGGUUAAUACCCAUCAGGAAAGACAUCACUCACAGAAGAAGCACCGGCUAACUCCGUGCCAGCAGCCGCGGUAAUACGGAGGGUGCGAGCGUUAAUCGGAAUUACUGGGCGUAAAGCGCGCGUAGGUGGCUUGAUAAGCCGGUUGUGAAAGCCCCGGGCUCAACCUGGGAACGGCAUCCGGAACUGUCAAGCUAGAGUGCAGGAGAGGAAGGUAGAAUUCCCGGUGUAGCGGUGAAAUGCGUAGAGAUCGGGAGGAAUACCAGUGGCGAAGGCGGCCUUCUGGACUGACACUGACACUGAGGUGCGAAAGCGUGGGUAGCAAACAGGACUAGAUACCCUUGUAGUC